UACGGAGGGGGCUAGCGUUGUUCGGAAUUACUGGGCGUAAAGCGCACGUAGGCGGCUUUGUAAGUUAGAGGUGAAAGCCCAGGGCUCAACCCUGGAAUUGCCUUUAAGACUGCAUCGCUUGAACAUCGGAGAGGUAAGUGGAAUUCCGAGUGUAGAGGUGAAAUUCGUAGAUAUUCGGAGGAACACCAGUGGCGAAGGCGACUUACUGGACGAUUGUUGACGCUGAGGUGCGAAAGCGUGGGGAGCAAACAGG
rnacentral:rRNA from 1 species